rnacentral:rRNA from 1 species
GGAGUUAGCCGGUGCUUCUUCUGUGAGUGAUGUCCUUCCUGCCGGCUAUUAACCCGCAGGCCUUCUUCCUCACUGAAAGUGCUUUACAACCCGAAGGCCUUCUUCACACACGCGGCAUGGCUGGAUCAGGGUUGCCCCCAUUGUCCAAUAUUCCCCACUGCUGCCUCCCGUAGGAGUCUGGGCCGUGUCUCAGUCCCAGUGUGGCUGAUCAUCCUCUCAGACCAGCUACGGAUCGUCGCCUUGGUGAGCCGUUACCUCACCAACCAGCUAAUCCGACAUAGGCUCAUCCGAUAGCGCGAGGCCCGAAGGUCCCCCGCUUUCCCCCGUAGGGCGUAUGCGGUAUUAGCCUGGGUUUCCCCAGGUUAUCCCCCACUACCGGGCAGAUUCCUAUGCAUUACUCACCCGUCCGCCGCUCGCCACCAGGGAGCAAGCUCCCCGUGCUGCCGCUCGACUUGCAUGUGUUAGGCCUGCCGCCAGCGUUCAAUCUGAACCAAGAUCAAACUCUGA